rnacentral:rRNA from 1 species
AUUGAACGCUGGCGGCAUGCCUUACACAUGCAAGUCGAACGGCAGCACGGGGCAACCUGGUGGCGAGUGGCGAACGGGUGAGUAAUGCAUCGGAACGUACCUUUCAGUGGGGGAUAACGUAGCGAAAGUUACGCUAAUACCGCAUAUUCUGUGAGCAGGAAAGCAGGGGAUCGCAAGACCUUGCGCUGAUUGAGCGGCCGAUGUCAGAUUAGCUAGUUGGUGAGGUAAAGGCUCACCAAGGCGACGAUCUGUAGCGGGUCUGAGAGGAUGAUCCGCCACACUGGAACGGAGACACGGUCAGACUCCUACGGGAGGCAGCAGUGGGGAAUUUUGGACAAUGGGGGCAACCCUGAUCCAGCCAUGCCGCGUGAGUGAAGAAGGCCUUCGGGUUGUAAAGCUCUUUCGGCCGGGAAGAAAUCGCACGGGCUAAUACCCUGUGUGGAUGACGGUACCGGAAUAAGAAGCACCGGCUAACUACGUGCCAGCCGCCGCCGUAAUAC